UACUAGAGUAGCACUCGCAUAUCAAUAAGCGGAGGAAAAGAAACUAACAAGGACUCCCUUAGUAACGGCGAGUGAAGCGGGAAGAGCUCAAAUUUGAAAUCUUCAAGGUUCUACCUUGACGAAUUGUAGUUUAUAGAAGUGUUUUCUGUUAGUGGAGUGGCAAAAGUUCUUUGGAAUAGGACAUCAUAGAGGGUGAGAAUCCCGUAUUUGGUCAUUCCUCCUAGCGUUGUGAUACACUUUCAACGAGUCGGAUUGUUUGGGAAUGCAGUCCAAAAUGGGUGGUAAAUUUCAUCUAAAGCUAAAUAUUGGCGAGAGACCGAUAGCGAACAAGUACCGUGAGGGAAAGAUGAAAAGAACUUUGAAAAGAGAGUUAAACAGUACGUGAAAUUGUCAAAAGGGAAGCGUUUGACACCAGUGUUGUUUAGUUGAAAAUCAAUUCAAUAAUUUUUGAUUUUAAGUAGUAUUGACUUCAUCAGCUUGCUGCUUUCUUUUCAGGAAUUAUUGAAUGCACUUUUCAGUUAACAAGUCAACAUCAAUUUCUUUUGUUGUAAAAGGGUAAGAGGAAGGUGGCUUACGCUUCGGCGUAAGUGUUUAUAGCCUUUUACCUCUGCAAUCGGAGAGAUUGAGGACAGCAGCGUAGACUCUUCGGGGUUAGAUACACUUGUGCUAAGCUAUAGCCUUGUAUAGACAACUUGUUGACUAUGCUCAGUCAUGUAGCUUACUCGCUUGUGCUAUUUUACCUACGCUUAGGAUGUUGAAGAUAUGCGCGACACG
rnacentral:rRNA from 1 species